AUGGCGAGGCCGGAGCUUGCGGGAUCCGUCACCGGCGGCGGCGGAGAGCCCUCGGGCACCGCGUCCUCCACCCCGGCGUCUGGCGGCAGGAGGAUCCUGCGCACGCAGACCGCGGGCAACCUUGGCGAGUCCGUCUUCGACAACGAAGUGGUCCCCUCCUCGCUCGUUGAGAUCGCCCCCAUCCUCCGCGUCGCCAACGAGGUCGAGGCAAGCAACCCGCGCGUCCCGUACCUAUCCCAUGGGAUGAAUCCGCUCACCAUCCAGUCCUCACUCCUCACAACGAAAUACUGCCUCUCCUUGCCCAGGAUGACAUCUCGGCCAGCAUGCACAAGUGACCGCAUCGCCAUGGCUUCACCGGUUGAUCUUCUCGCUACCGUCAUCUCGCCAUGGCUCCACUAA
rnacentral:rRNA from 1 species